AUUAGACAUGUGUUUAGAGUACAGAAGUAACCUGAUGAAAAUUAUGAUAGUGACUCACAAGAUUUUAAUGAACAUCAAGAAUUCAAAAAGUCUUGUCUGCAGACACCUGUCGCUGUAUUGAAUCAAAGUAGAACAAGAUUGGAAAAAGUGAUCAUAUUUACCUCUGUGAUUAAGGUGAAGGGAGUAGCAGCAAAAAGGGAAGUAGCAAAAUAAUUGAAUUGGACAGGGCAAGAAGCAAUACGAAGAAAUUUGCUGACAAAAGAUACCACAUACAGCGAAAUUUAAAAGGCAGUUGUGGCUUUUUUUUUUGAAGCUCAAGACAAAAAUAGAGGCAGAAAAGAAAGAGCAGAAAAAAAGUCUAUCCAAAAAACCAGUUCAUCAAAAAAUCCUAGCUAUACUGCCCAAUCAUUGACAUUGAAACCUUUAUCUGGAUUAUCAUUACCACGAUUUGAACGCUUUAUUUUUGAUG
rnacentral:lncRNA from 1 species